rnacentral:rRNA from 1 species
UACAGGGGAUGCAAGUGUUAUCCGGAAUCAUUGGGCGUAAAGCGUCUGCAGGUUGAUAUUUAAGUCUUUUGUUAAAGCUUUGGGCUUAACCCAAAAUCUGCAAAAGAAACUAUUUAUCUUGAGUAUGGUAGAGGUAAAGGGAAUUUCCGGUGGAGCGGUGAAAUGCGUAGAUAUCGGAAAGAACACCAAUUGCGAAGGCACUUUACUGGGCCAGAACUGACACUCAGAGACGAAAGCUAAGGGAGCAAACAGG